rnacentral:rRNA from 1 species
AGUCGAGGGGCAGCAUGGUCUUAGCUUGCUAAGGCCGAUGGCGACCGGCGCACGGGUGAGUAACGCGUAUCCAACCUGCCUUACACUCUUGGACAGCCUUCUGAAAGGGAGAUUAAUACAAGAUGUUAUCAUGAGUAAGCAUUUUCGCAUGAUUAAAGGUUUACCGGUGUAAGAUGGGGAUGCGUUCCAUUAGAUAGUAGGCGGGGUAACGGCCCACCUAGUCUUCGAUGGAUAGGGGUUCUGAGAGGAAGGUCCCCCACAUUGGAACUGAGACACGGUCCAAACUCCUACGGGAGGCAGCAGUGAGGAAUAUUGGUCAAUGGACGAGAGUCUGAACCAGCCAAGUAGCGUGAAGGAUGAAGGUUCUAUGGAUUGUAAACUUCUUUUAUACGGGAAUAAACGAAUCCACGUGUGGAUUUUUGCAUGUACCGUAUGAAUAAGGAUCGGCUAACUCCGUGCCAGCAGCCGCGGUAAUACGGAGGAUCCGAGCGUUAUCCGGAUUUAUUGGGUUUAAAGGGAGCGUAGAUGGGUUGUUAAGUCAGUUGUGAAAGUUUGCGGCUCAACCGUAAAAUUGCAAUUGAUACUGGCAGUCUUGAGUACAGUUGAGGUAGGCGGAAUUCGUGGUGUAGCGGUGAAAUGCUUAGAUAUCACGAAGAACUCCGAUUGCGAAGGCAGCUUACUAACCUGUAACUGACAUUGAUGCUCGAAAGUGUGGGUAUCAAACAGGAUUAGAUACCCUGGUAGUCCACACGGUAAACGAUGAAUACUCGCUGUAGGCGAUAUACAGUCUGCGGCCAAGCGAAAGCAUUAAGUAUUCCACCUGGGGAGUACGCCGGCAACGGUGAAACUCAAAGGAAUUGACGGGGGCCCGCACAAGCGGAGGAACAUGUGGUUUAAUUCGAUGAUACGCGAGGAACCUUACCCGGGCUUAAAUUGCAACCGAAUAUGGCGGAAACGCUAUAGCUAGCAAUAGCGGUUGUGAAGGUGCUGCAUGGUUGUCGUCAGCUCGUGCCGUGAGGUGUCGGCUUAAGUGCCAUAACGAGCGCAACCCUUGCCGAUAGUUACUAACAGGUCAUGCUGAGGACUCUGUCGGGACUGCCAUCGUAAGAUGUGAGGAAGGUGGGGAUGACGUCAAAUCAGCACGGCCCUUACGUCCGGGGCUACACACGUGUUACAAUGGGGGGUACAGAGGGCUGCUACCACGCAAGUGGAUGCCAAUCCCAAAAACCUCUCUCAGUUCGGAUUGAAGUCUGCAACCCGACUUCAUGAAGCUGGAUUCGCUAGUAAUCGCGCAUCAGCCACGGCGCGGUGAAUACGUUCCCGGGCCUUGUACACACCGCCCGUCAAGCCAUGGGAGCCGGGGGUACCUGAAGUGCGUAACCGCAAGG